rnacentral:rRNA from 1 species
UAAUACCGUAUGAGCUCUACGGAGGAAAGAUUUAUCGCCAAGGGAUCGGCCCGUAUUAGGUAGUUGGUGGGGUAAUGGCCUACCAAGCCGACGAUCCAGUUUGAGAGGAUGAUCAGCCACACUGGGACUGAGACACGGCCCACACGGGAGGCAGCAGUGGGGAAUCUUAGACAAUGGGCGCAAGCGAGCCAUGCCGCGUGAGCGAUGAAGGCCUUAGGGUUGUAAAGCUUUUGGGAAGAUAAUGACUGUACCAGCAGAAGAAGCCCCGGCAACUCCCAGCAGCCGCGGUAAUACGGAGGGGGCUAGCGUUGUUGAAUUACCGUAAAGCGCACGUAGGCGGACUGGAAAGUCAGGGGUAAUCCCGCUCAACCCCGGAACUGCCUUUGAAACUCCCAGUCUUGGUCGAGAGGAGUGGAAUUCCGAGUGUAGAGGUGAAAUUCGUAGAUAUU